GAAUUAUCCCCUAUAUGGAUAGAUCCCUUUCUGACAGUCUUCAGUGCUUUAUGACAUGCAUUGCCUUUUUAAUUGUAGGCAUGCCUAGUUAUGUAUUAGGUAAUCACACUUGUCUAACCCAUUGAAGGCCUGUAGAUGCUGUGCAAAGUCCAAGCCCCACACUUUGGUGUGGUCCAAUGAAAAUGGAUAAUUCCUAUGGGCCUGCAUCUACUGUAACUUCUCAUUUAGUAGUAAUAUGGAGCAACACAAUACGACAACUUAGGUAGAAGUAAAGCAAACAGAGCUAAUACGAUUGUGGCUACUGGCAACUCAGAGUGUUCAGAUGAGGCCAUCCUCUUCUUCCUCAUUGAACGGUAAAAGCGUGAGUUCCUGCGAAUAGGCUCUCUGCUCAGGCCUACCUUGGAGUCAUCUUCAUCAUCAUCAUAGUCCUCAUCAUGGUUGGGUAGAACCACAGUGUUUGGAUGCUUGACAGGGCUUUCCUGGGAUUUUGUCCCCAACUUGCCCCUAAACAGGGCAGCCACAGACAUGACCAAUUUUCAGGCCCCUUUUGUUACGGCUCAGGCUCCUGCCAACGCCGCUCAUCCGUCUGUGCGCACCUCGGGACACGCCCACGGGUGCGCACAUCCAGGGACGCGCGCCACCCUGCAGCAGCCACCAGCUGCAAUCACUCGCUGGCAAUCUUCACACCUGGAACUGAUGAGGGCGAGCUGGUUAAAAGACCAGUGGACCCUAGGAUCGGCGCGGGAACUUAGUUUUCUCAUGGUGUACCUACCCUUCGUCACCUGGAAAGUGAGCUGUGCGUCUCACUUUUCCCUGGAUCUCCCUCUGGACUCUGACUGCCUCCUUCGUUCCUCGACCUCUUGCUCGCCCCUGGAUUCUGCCGUCUCUCUCUGCCCCCGGAUCAUCUGCCUGCCCCCUGGACUUCCUCAUAUCUCGUUCAACACGUUGGUAACACUCACUUCAGUUAAAUUCUACACAUAGUCUUACACCAUUCCCUUUUGGAUAUAGU